AUUGAACGCUGGCGGCAUGCUUUACACAUGCAAGUCGAACGGCAGCGCGGGCUUCGGCCUGGCGGCGAGUGGCGAACGGGUGAGUAAUGCAUCAGAACGUGCCCAGUAGUGGGGGGUAGCCCGGCGAAAGCCGGAUUAAUACCGCAUACGACCUGAGGGUGAAAGCGGGGGACCGAAAGGCCUCGCGCUAUUGGAGCGGCCGAUGUCGGAUUAGCUAGUUGGUGGGGUAAAGGCUUACCAAGGCGACGAUCCGUAGCUGGUCUGAGAGGACGACCAGCCACACUGGGACUGAGACACGGCCCAGACUCCUACGGGAGGCAGCAGUGGGGAAUUUUGGACAAUGGGGGCAACCCUGAUCCAGCCAUGCCGCGUGCGGGAAGAAGGCCUUCGGGUUGUAAACCGCUUUUGUUCGGGAAGAAAUCCUCUGGGCUAAUACCCCGGGGGGAUGACGGUACCGGAAGAAUAAGCACCGGCUAACUACGUG
rnacentral:rRNA from 1 species